CGGCCCUCACCGCUGCCGUGCCCGCAGGCCGCCCGCCUGGCCGGCCCCCAGGGCCUCCGGGCAGCCGCGCAAGGGGGAGCGGGGAGGCGGCUCCAGGCCCCCUGACAGGGUCAGCCUGCCCCUCGGCCGGGCGGGCGGCCCUCGGCGCCCCCGCCGCGAAGCGGGGGAAGGAGCGGGGCGGGAAGGGGCCCGCGGGCGCGCAGGGAAGGGCGGCGGGUCUUCGCCUUCCCGGCUCCCGGCGCGGAAACCCCAGGAACUUUGUCAAGUGCGGGAUGUUGGCGUGAUUUCGCGUAACACCACCAUAAAGUCCUGCUGUACCGCGAGGUGUUUUCACACGGCCGCGUGACAGGGAAAAAUGUGAACAAGAGGAAGAAGAGGUGUCUAAGCCAGCAGUCUGAGGGCCAAAGGAGUUUGGAGACUGUUAAGCAGACAUCGCAGCAAUUCCUGCUCAGAGACUCAAGCAAGAAUGUGCAGAGUGGGGCUGACCAGUGGCAGAGACCCUUGGUAGGACAAUAUUCAUCAGGGUCCCAUGUCCCUGCAUCAGCAGUGCUCAGCAUGAUUGUACCAGGGCUGCAUGUGAAACUGCUCUGCGAUCCUAUUAAAAUGGGAAUGGCUUUGUCUUUCUGUCCUGCAAUGGAGGAGUCAGCAGCUACUGUCAGGCUGUCUGAGAAACUGGGACAGUGAGUUCUUGGCUGUUUCCGUCUUGGUAACUAAAGAACAGGCAGCAAGACACCCACCCAGCCUGGAGGGGAAGAGAACUAUCCUUCAGAAACAUCCAAAACCAGGAGAGAUGCUGACAAACUCUGAUUCUCCUGCACUAUUUAUACUGGCUGACAGAAUGAGUCACAUUAUGCUACUUUUUAAUAGCUUUCUCACCUUCCUGAAAUGAAUUAUAUGCUUGCAGAGCAGUGAUGGUAAACUAGGAUUCAUAGCUAUCAUUAUUAGCUUUGCAACAUCCUUAACAUCAGCGUAGCUAUUUGUAUUCAGUACCCAUGAAUCAGCUGUAAUAUAUUGUGAUAAAUAAUCUGUCCAGAGGGACAUCAGCAUUGCAUCUGAAGAACAGCCCAGACUAAUCCUGUGAAAUCUGCUUUGAUGCAGUCUGCAAAGUUAGGUCUUGUUAUAUUGCUCUGAAUCAGGGAGGUGGCUAUUAUCAGUUGAUUCCUCCUGAUAAAGAAAUUAUUGAGCAGCUUUUUCAGAAGUACUUAAAUGCCUUGGUAUUUGUGAUUUAAAGCUGAUGUUUUUCAGCAACAGUGUGUGACCCCACUCUCUCUAUUAGCUACAUAUACACCAUUACAUUAAAACCUCAUCUAAAGCAAAAGGAACAUACUUGGCCAUGAUGGAGGGUAUUCUUUUGAACACUAUAUUCCAAGAUCUCUCUGCGGUUUUGAAGGUUUCAGCUGAAUCAAUUUUAUGUCACCAGGUUAUGCAAUAGAUUCUGUUUCCAUUACAAAUGAUGUGACAUUAAAAAAAACAUGGGAAGAUGUGAGGGCUUAUGGCAGCACCAAGCUGAAUCUGUAAGGCAACAGCCUGAAACAAUCGCAGGUUACAGAAAAUAGUCCCAGAAGGGGCUGUGGGAGGUCAUCUACACAGUCUGCAUACUGAGGCUCAAUUAAUGCUGUCUGAACUAUUUUGAGAAAUGUUUAUUUAACUUUCUCUUACAAAGUUCCCACAGCAGCGGGCAAAGAUGUGGAUUAACGCCUUUCACCUACCAGUGAAAGCCAGAAGUGGUAAAGGCCAGAAGUCCUGACCUCAUUGGUGCUGGCCAGACAGCAGAUAUUUGUAGCUUUUCUCUGCUGUUGGAUGGACCUUCUAAUUUGUAUAGAAGGGAGCCACAUUUAAGGUGCAUAAGAAGUCCUUACCUUUAAUUUACUAAAAUUUCUGCUUUGCAAUGGCAGAGCAGUUGUGUUUCUAUAGCACAAAGAUUUGGGAGUACCCUAAAUGCCUCCAUAUGGCAACCUAAAGUAAACAAGAUUAACAUCCCUGUAGGGAACAGCCAAUGUUCUGAUGGUAACUAGUUUAGUAGUUAAGGUAGUGUGUACUAGUGGGUAACUCUCCUGACUCUCUCUUCAUGGCUCAGGGGUCUGAUGCUGACUCUGCUAGUGAUCUUCAGGCCUUUUCUCCCUAAGUCCCCUUGUUCCACUGUCCUUCCAUUUUCUAUGUGGAUACUGAGAGUUUAUUCCCUGUAGAACAUUUAGAGAGCAGAAGACAGUGAUGCAGAGGGCCCUGAAUGACCUGGGUGACCCACCUAAGUUAAAGGCUGGAAGCUGCACAGUCCAAUAGAUCAGCCAUGUAAGAGCACAGUCCCCCGCAGACCCAGAGGCAAUAGGCAUCUCCUUUCAGUAGGACUAAUUUAACUUGAGCCCACCAAAGCAUUGUUAGGGCUGUAAAGUGCCCGGGUCCUUGUAUUUCCUGCAACACUGCCAUGCAGAUGUUCUGGCUUAGGAUGGCACCAGCUCAGGGGUCUGAAAGACUCUUUGGCUCGCACACAGAGCUGCCGGGCUAUGAGCAUUGUAGCUGGGAAAGGAAAAUCCUCUUUGCUCCAACUGGAAAGUCAUCUUUAACCCAGUGCCACACACCAGUGUUCCCUGUAUAAGCAUUCCUACUAUUUCAUGCUAAGGCCUUGUACCUUGCCUGAAUAAUAUAUGCUGCCAGUUUAUUAAGAAAUAAGAUCACAUUGUUAAUAAAACUUUUUUCAACCAAACCUCUAGAGUUCACCUACCAAUGAAGAAAGAGCUACAAAAAAAGAAAGCUUACAGCCUGUCAAAUAAAAAUUCCACAAAACAGCUUUUAUAUUUAAGGUACGUUUAUGUUUAUUGCUGUAGUAGUACAAAUAAUGAUGAUGUGAUUUAAUGGGUUGUUAGCACAAUAACGUUCUGUGCUUUAAAAGUGACACAAAUUUCUAUCUUCCAUUUGAAUGUCAUCAAUGACUGUGAAUGCAAUGGGAUGUGUUCUUCCAUUAUCUAGCUCUUUCCUUAUUGUCUGAUGAUGAAUUUAGGGUUUUAUGGAUUUCAAAUAUAUUUUUCUGAGUUUAACAGCUUUAAAUGUUCACUUCCUUUUGCCAGCACCUGAUAUAUCAAUACAAUUGGUUGAUACAGGUAUCUUGUACAGUUGAAAAUGACAUUUGGCAGUUUGUGUCAAACAGAUACAUGUGUUCAGUACUCCUUAAAUGCAGAUUUACUCUGUAGAAAUAGUAGCUAAGGGUGUUUAUUAUGAAUCCUAAAAAAAUUGCGUUCAUUUAUUUUAAAAUAAAGUAAAUGCUUAUA